CUGUGCUAGACGGGGAGCUAGCGGUGCCCUGUAACCUGCAAUCCGCUAUAGCAGGGUUGAAUUCCCUUCGGAGGUUUACUCGCCGGGCAUUAAAUUUUAGUAAGUAGCGUUGAUAGUCCAAGUCCUGCGCAACAGUGUACUGCCCAACCCCGUCAGGACCGGAAGGUAGCAGCGGUAAGCAGCUCAUGCUGUGUGCCGCGGGGUCGCUUGGCUGGAGUUGGCUGCUAAAAUCUUCUGCCGGGAAAGAGGAAUCAAAGAAGGGUGCACAG
rnacentral:SRP_RNA from 1 species